rnacentral:rRNA from 1 species
CUCAGAGAUGAUGAGGUAGAUAGGAUGGAAGUGGAAGCGCCGUGAGGCGUGGAGCGGACCAUUACUAAUCGGUCGAGGACUUAACCAAG